UCUUAUAGAUAAAUGAAGAAAGUAGUUUCUUGAGAUGGGAUCUACUUCUGGUAAAGAUGGUGUGAA
rnacentral:pre_miRNA from 1 species